rnacentral:rRNA from 1 species
CAUUAUACCGUGAAACUGCGAAUGGCUCAUUAAAUCAGUUAUCGUUUAUUUGAUAGUACCUUACUACUUGGAUAACCGUGGUAAUUCUAGAGCUAAUACAUGCUAAAAACCCCAACUUCGGGAGGGGUGUAUUUAUUAGAUAAAAAACCAAUGCCCUCCGGGGCUCUUUGGUGAUUCAUGAUAACUUAACGGAUCGCAUGGCCUUGCGCCGGCGACGGUUCAUUCAAAUUUCUGCCCUAUCAACUUUCGAUGGUAAGGUAUUGGCUUACCAUGGUUUCAACGGGUAACGGGGAAUUAGGGUUCGAUUCCGGAGAGGGAGCCUGAGAAACGGCUACCACAUCCAAGGAAGGCAGCAGGCGCGCAAAUUACCCAAUCCCGACUCGGGGAGGUAGUGACAAUAAAUACUGAUACAGGGCUCUUUUGGGUCUUGUAAUCGGAAUGAGUACAAUUUAAACCCCUUAACGAGGAACAAUUGGAGGGCAAGUCUGGUGCCAGCAGCCGCGGUAAUUCCAGCUCCAAUAGCGUAUAUUAAAGUUGUUGCAGUUAAAAAGCUCGUAGUUGAACCUUGGGCCUGGCUGGCCGGUCCGCCUCACCGCGUGUACUGGUCCGGCCGGGCCUUUCCUUCUGGAGAGCCGCAUGCCCUUCACUGGGUGUGUCGGGGAACCAGGACUUUUACUUUGAAAAAAUUAGAGUGUUCAAAGCAGGCCUUUGCUCGAAUACGUUAGCAUGGAAUAAUAGAAUAGGACGUGCGGUCCUAUUUUGUUGGUUUCUAGGACCGCCGUAAUGAUUAAUAGGGAUAGUCGGGGGCAUCAGUAUUCAAUUGUCAGAGGUGAAAUUCUUGGAUUUAUUGAAGACUAACUACUGCGAAAGCAUUUGCCAAGGAUGUUUUCAUUAAUCAGUGAACGAAAGUUAGGGGAUCGAAGACGAUCAGAUACCGUCGUAGUCUUAACCGUAAACUAUGCCGACUAGGGAUCGGGCGAUGUUUCUAUCUUGACUCGCCUCGGCACCUUACGAGAAAUCAUAGUUUUGGUUCUGGGGGGGAGUAUGGUCCGCAAGGCUGAAACCU